rnacentral:rRNA from 1 species
GCAUAUCAAUAAGCGGAGGAAAAGAAACCAACAGGGAUUGCCCUAGUAACGGCGAGUGAAGCGGCAACAGCUCAAAUUUGAAAUCUGGCCUCGGCCCGAGUUGUAAUUUGUAGAGGAAGCUUUUGGCACGGCACCUGCUGAGUCCCCUGGAACGGGGCGCCAGAGAGGGUGAGAGCCCCGUAUAGCAGGACGCCUAGCCUCUGUAAAGCUCCUUCGACGAGUCGAGUAGUUUGGGAAUGCUGCUCAAAAUGGGAGGUAAAUUUCUUCUAAAGCUAAAUACCGGCCAGAGACCGAUAGCGCACAAGUAGAGUGAUCGAAAGAUGAAAAGCACUUUGAAAAGAGGGUUAAAUAGCACGUGAAAUUGUUGAAAGGGAAGCGCUUGUGACCAGACUUGCGCCGGGCUGAUCAUCCGGGGUUCUCCCCGGUGCACUCUGCCCGGCUCAGGCCAGCAUCGGUUCUUGCGGGGGGAUAAAGGCCCUGGGAACGUAGCUCCCUCGGGAGUGUUAUAGCCCGGGGCGUAAUGCCCUCGCGGGGACCGAGGACCGCGCUUCGGCAAGGAUG